rnacentral:lncRNA from 1 species
CUUUUUUUAUUUUUUCCCAAAUGUCCCCCGUUUGAAUUGAACCGAAUGAAAAAACAGAAAUUAACCCUUUGUCGGCGGCCCCGAUAAACAGCCGCCGGCAAAGGCGAAUUUUCUUUUAAUUUUUUUUUCCAAAGUCCCCCGUUCAAAUUAAAACGAACGAAAAAAAAUAACUCUUUGCCGGCGGCCCCGAUAAAUAGCCGCCGGCAAAGGUUGCUUUGCGGAAAGCCCAUAUAAUAGUCGUCGGAAAGCGUUUUUUUCCCUUUUUUUUGUUUGUUUGUGAUGUAAAUCAACCAUAUUGUAAACACACAGAGCAAUAUAUAUUGUUGUUUAGAUUGAACCCAAUUUGCAUUUCACUACAAGAAAUAUGCUGAUUUAUGACCCCCAAUUUUCGUCACUAAAUCGUCACUAGUUUCCAUUAAUGACCUUCGUAUAAUGAAAAUCAAAUCGUCAAAAACCGACCGUCACUAACGACACUUUAUGACCUUUUUGGUGAAAUGGUCAUAAAGGGUUAUGACCAAAUUGGAUUGUCAUCAAAUUUAUGACGAAUUUGUUUCGUCACUAACAACCCGUCCUGGACACGUCGGAUCCGACUUGGAAGUCUGACGUGGCAAACUUUGUGACGAUAUCAAAUGGUCAAAAUAUGAAAUCAGCCCAGUCCAUAGGUAUCAUGUUAAUGGGCCUAGCACAACACUUCAUUUGGGCCACGGCCUUUUUACAAUCGAAAAAUCUAUUUCUCUAGAUCUUUUCGUAAUUUUGGAUCUCGGCCAUUGUUUUCCAAUUCCGGUCAAAUAUUAAUUGGGACGCGUCCUUUUUACGGUCGAGUAAACUUUGUUUGUUAUUAAACGUAUUAAAAUUCUUGAUUCUUCUAGCAAAAACAACAGCCCAGUACAAUACUGUUUGGGCCUCUCUAGGUCCAGCUUCUAGCCCAAUACAUGCAUUCAACCAAUAUAUGCAUCCAGUUGAUUCAGCCCAUCGGACAAAGUACACAGAGACAAAGUACAUUAGACAUAGAAUUCGAAUGGCCUUAGCUGAUAUAUAUUACUAGCAUAUCUUGGUAGCAAAACUUGCGAGGAUGGCUGCCUAAGACUGACGCUGUGCUUCUUAAUGAUCGAUCACAACAAAGCAUUUUGGCGCCCUUGCAUGUACAACAUUCGUCCAGCAUGAUGUUGGCAUUAGAGUUAGCUGUAUAAAUUUAUGAAGCAUGAAGCUCAGGUGGACUAAUUGUACAUGUAAACAAAAUCUCAUGUAUACUUACAUGAAAUAAUAAUUGACAGCCAGACAAACAAAAAUGACAAAAAAAACAAUCAAGCCCUCAUGUACAUAAUAUUCUGUGUGCUUGUACAGUAUGUUAUAUCGAACUAAUCAUGUAGAAAUAGAACUGACAUCUUUCUAAUAGUUCAUUGGAUGCAAAUAAUGACAUUCUAUUAUGACAACUCAAGUAAAUUAAUCUGCCUGCUAAAGAGAAUAUAAUAAACAUAAUGACAAUGAUAUCCAACAUUAAUGUAGUUUUCAAAAUUCUGCCCUGUAUCUCCAACAGCAGAGUAUUUCUAAUAUUCACUUCAAAAUGGAAUUAAAUAAGAACUAAUAUAAGAAUAACAGAUGGUGGUGCCUACACCCAGGAGUAUGCGGAGUACAGAGGAUGAUGGUGAGUUAGUGCAAAAUGUUUCCUGAGAGCAUAAACUAAGAUUCUCAUGAUACACAAAGAAGACCAAUAGAAUUCAAAACAGCGAUUGCUAAAGUACCAGACACCUAUGCUAGGAUAAAACACACUAGAAAACAACAAAUUAUUGAAUGCACAUGUUAUUUAAGAGUCCAGCGCACAAAUUGAAAUUGUAGCCAGUACAACUUUUAACACAUAAAAACUGCUCGAUCAAGCAUCUGUUAAAUGCUUCAGGCAUAAGGAUUCUUCUAUAACAAUUUGACAAUAAAGAAGAUAGUUAAGUUACACAGCUUUUAACGCAUCAAAAAUCAAUACAGGUAAUCUGUAAAAUUGCUUGGCUACUUAUGGUAACCAUACACUGAGCCAGUUUCAGGCAUAACGAUUCUUCUAUAACAAUUUACUCCUCUGCAUGAGUAACAAAAAUAAAAAAAAUCAAUAAAUUCUCCUCUGCAUCUCUAGGCAUCUAAACAUUACAAGACACUACUGUGUGACUACUUAUUUCUACCAUACACUGAGCCAUCUUGGAAUGAAAACUUACUAUAAACUGAACCCAAGAAGCUGGUUCAUCCAUAGAUUUCAGCUCAUAGCAUUAAAGCAUGGACAUGUGUUAAUAUAUCGUUACCUUCUACUGUGAGUACUCGGCCGUUCCACCCUUGCAGCAACCAGCCAACCACCCAUUAUCCACAUCGUCCU